UUCCUACGGGGGGCAGCAGUGAGGAAUAUUGGUCAAUGGGCGGGAGCCUGAACCAGCCAAGUCGCGUGAGGGAAGACGGUCCUAUGGAUUGUAAACCUCUUUAGGCGGGGAGCAAUGCCGGGCACGCGUGUCCGGAGGGAGAGUACCCGCAGAAUAAGCAUCGGCUAACUCCGUGCCAGCAGCCGCGGUAAUACGGAGGAUGCGAGCGUUAUCCGGAUUUAUUGGGUUUAAAGGGUGCGCAGGCGGAGGUGCAAGCCAGCGGUCAAAUUGCGGGGCUCAACCCCGUACUGCCGUUGAAACUGUAU
rnacentral:rRNA from 1 species